CUGCUCCUCCUUGUGCUGCUGUUUCUUUCAUCUGCUUCUGGUGUGGGCCUAAGAGGAAGUUUAAAUAAACAUAAAAUGGCGACACGAGCAUGAAUAAUGCAGCAGAGUCGACGACGUCUGCAUAUGCAGUAUAUAUAAAAUUUAUAUCAUGAACACUGUGACACCCUUUCACACACAGACACACACACGCACACUCUACGCACAGACAGCACCCGCAUACAGCAUAUGAAAAACAAACAAAUUGACAUGCCGAUGCCGAAAAAGCAAACAAAAUGUUGGCAUAAACGGGCUGAAGCCGAGAUAUGAAAGUUGGGCAAAAAUCUUUUUGCUGUUGGUUGCCGAUAAGCGCGAGGCGAGGCGCCCUCUGGCGGGCGGCAGCCAUCAACGGCAGCAAGAACAACAAGGAACAAGGAAAAACUGUUGCCAAUCGCGCCACGCAUCCAAUUGUGUGGGUGUAAAAUUAUUGAAAACUUUUCGCAUGCAAAGUUCGCCCUGGCCACAUUUUAGGGACUAUCCUUUAAGUUUUCGCAUAUGCGUUGAGCACAAAUGUUUGUACAAAAGAACAGUCAAUGGCCCAAAAGUUUUGGCAUUCAAAAACAAAAUCAAUUCAAAGUUUUGCAUAUCCCCACCUCUUCAUUUUCUUUGUGGGUCAAUGGCGCUUGGCCUUUGCUUCUCGUCUGCCCAAAAAUGUUCUGAUAAACCAUCUGGGACCGCUCUCGAUCUAAGCGGAUUAACAACCAUUAUUUAGUAAAUUAUGCUGAAACUCAG